ACGGAAGGCAGCAGUGGGGAAUAUUAGGCAAUGGGGGCAACCCUGACCUAGCAAUGCCGCGUGAAGGAAGAAGGUCUUCGGAUUGUAAACUUCUUUUAUGAGGGACGAAGGAUUUGACGGUACCUCAUGAAUAAGCCACGGCUAACUACGUGCCAGCAGCCGCGGUAAUACGUAGGUGGCAAGCGUUAUCCGGAUUUACUGGGUGUAAAGGGCGCGUAGGCGGGGAAGCAAGCCAGAUGUGAAAUCUAUGGGCUUAACUCAUAAACUGCAUUUGAAACUGUUUCUCUUGAGUGCUGGAGAGGUAGAUGGAAUUCCUAGUGUAGCGGUGAAAUGCGUAGAUAUUAGGAAGAACACCAGUGGCGAAGGCGAUCUACUGGACAGUAACUGACGCUGAGGCGCGAAAGCGUGGGGAGCAAACAGGAUUAGAUACCCUGGUA
rnacentral:rRNA from 1 species